rnacentral:lncRNA from 13 species
CCUCCAUUGGCUUCCCAUAGUGCUGAGAUUACAGGUGAGGCUCGGCACCCUGCGGAAUUCUCUUAAUUCCAAGGCCUGCAUUUAACAACUGUUGCUGGGAGAAAAUUCUUUGAAUCACUCUGAUUAAAGAAUCUGCUUCUCCUUUCUCAAGUGGCCAUCAAGAACAGCUGGUUUUCUGUCUAAGGGGCUUCUGAGGUUUGAAAAACGGUGGCUAAUGAUGUCAAGAGCAACAGCCUGGGACACAGAAAACGCCUUGGCCUGGCCUCGGUCCAUCGCACAGCCUAGGCCUCCUGACAUCCAGUGAGGAUUGUGUUAUCAUCCACAUUUUAGAGAUGAGAAAACUGAGGCCUAAAAGGGCCAUGUGACCACACACUGACCACCCACUGACACAGCGAUUCGAGCCCAGGGUGGCCUGUCCCAAGCCGGGGCUGCCCACCUGCCUCCCCUUUCUCAUCCUUGCUCUGGGGUUUGGCUUUUCUCUCCCCGGGUCCCCAGGCGGCCCCGGCCCUGCCUUCGCGUCUCGUGCUGUUCAGGGCCAGGCACAGGAGCUGCUGACCGCGGCUUCGCUGUCAUCUCCGACCCCAACGGCAGCUCGCACGGGGCUGGCCCAGCGAACACGUGGCACGAGGUAAGCGGAGACCAAGCGCCGCCAGCAAAGAGCCAGGGGGAGCCGGGAAGACGGGGAGAUCAGGGCGACGCUGGAGACCAGGGAGCACAGCACGAUUUCGGGAGUCAGACACAGGCGGGACACCGAGCUGUCACCCCGAGGAUCUAAAGCAGCAGAGCGGAGAGGUGAAGACCGUCUUCCUCCUCCGUGGUCCCUGGAUCUGGAGAAGAACGGAACGUGCCCAGAGUCUCUGGUGCCCCUUUUGCCGAGGCGUUGUUGGGGCAGGAGGUUGAAAGGUGGCAUCAGUGGAUGGGUGGCGUCCCAUGUCCUGUGGCUGUCACAGGGGCCAGCAUCCAAAUGGAACCCUCAAGUAACCCAACUUUCCCAGCAGCUGAGAGUGGUAGCACUGUGUUUAAACGUUCGGGCCUGAGUCAGACAGUGUAAGGUUCAAACCUGCCGAGUCAGUUUUCAUUUGGAUUCUCUGCAAAGCGGUCCCAGCGGGUAGGAUUGGGUGCAAGUGGUGACUGUGGUCCUGGGAGGCAGCUGCAGGGAGGGGACGUGAGAGAGCGGGAAGCCAGCCCAGGACUGUGCACUGACACAUUACCACGAUGGGCAGCAGGGGCCCACACCUGCUCCGGACCCCCAGUACCACGUGCAGACCACACCUCAGCAUUGUCUUGCUGGUGGGUGGGGAAGCCGGGGUCUUGAUCUUCUAACACGAAGCAGCUGAGGCUGCCCUGGGGCUGUUAGCCCCUUGGCCCUUCCACCUGCCCUCAUCUGGGCUUGGUUGGGUCCCUGGGCAGAGAAUGCCUCGGAGACUCACAGUUGCUUUGUUGGGAAGGUGGGGCACCUGCCCUAGAGCCCGUCUCUCCCGCUGCCUG